CACUGAGAUAACUUUUUUUGUGUUCUCGUUCUGUUCUAGGGUGCAAGCAACGUGUCAUUGUGGUUAGAAAAAAUGAAUCAGUAUACAUGUGAUUUAACUGUCAAAGCCGGAAUGUUUAAAGCAUACAUCCCGCCCAAGGCAUGCUGGGAUGAUCUCCUAUCAGGCAGCUUGGAAACUUCCAGACGCCGAUAUGCCUUACGUUCGGUGCAGCCGAGGUUAUGAACUGUCAAGUGGAAUAUGCCCCUUGAGGAAAACAAUUAGGUACGAGCAUAUUCAAGCUCCACGUGAAAUGCCAAGUAUGGUCACUGAAAAAUGAUCGACUGUCCAGCGAGGAGAUUGCGGAAUCAGCAGCUGACAUAUUGACUGAUGAAACAUGAUGGUGCGUGCAGCAAGAGAGGGCUUGACUGCAGAUCCCGACCACCUGCUCCUGUAA